rnacentral:rRNA from 1 species
GGGUCCGGACACACUGAGGAUUGACAGAUAUACGUCGUGCGUUGAGCUCUCUCGGGGGCCGAGCGCAUGACUGAAAGAUGCUAGUUCUUUCAUGAUUAUGUGAUAGGUGGUGCAUGGCCGUUCUUAGUUCGUGGAGUGAUCUGUCUGCUUAAUUGCGUAUCAUAAAAAGAGACCUAGUAUACGCGUAAGAUAUCGUUUACGGUUCGUGACCCCCCUCGGGCGUGUGUCGCACGUACGUAUCAUACGCACUGGUCUCCGAUAGCAACGAACGUGACCGUACUCUAUUGUUGCAGCGAAUGUAUGCAUCUUCGGGUGUAUCUACCGCUGCUUAGUGCGUAUGCGUACUUCGGUGCGUGUCGUACAUUAAACUAUAGAGACCGCUGUAUUUUUUUUAAACCAGAGGAAGGAUACGGCAAUAACAGGUCUGUGAUGCCCUCAGAUGUUCCGGGCUGCACACGUGCUACAAUGAUCAUUGCACUGUGCAUCUAACCCAAUGUGCGUGGACGCCACGGUAUGUAUUUAUGCUUCGGCGUAGUAUAUAUCAGUUGGUCGGCCGCGCCGAACCUACUUCGAAAGUAAAAUUUCUCAGUGGGU